rnacentral:tRNA from 1 species
GGUAGGAUGGCUGAAUAAAUAAGCAUUAGACUGUAAAUCUAAAGAUAAAGGUUGUACUCCUUUUUCUACCA